UGAUGGGCAUUUUGAAGCAUUUUCUGACAGUGUUUAUUAUGAGAUCAUAACCCAGAUACAUUAGAUAACGUAGCCCUAAUAACAGCAUGCAUGCAAAAUUUGUCUACAUUGAAAAGUUAGACAUUUUGAUCUCUACAGUGCCCCAAUUAGAACGACCACUGCAAUACCUUUAGCACCAGACAACAAUGCUAUUAUGCAGCAUGCAAUGAAAUCCUGCUGUCCUCCACUCCUGAAGAAAAUUUUUGUCUUCUUUAUCUGUAAAUUAUCUGCUAUGUUCAUUAGCUAGUUGCUAACUUUUUGUUAUCUUGUGCUAGGCAGGAAGUGUUUUUGUUUUUUUUGCAGCUGCCUGCUGUGGCUAAAAAGAGCGAUAAGAGUGAACCAAAACAAGCCAAGCAACGUACCGCAAAACACAAAAAGAAUUAGCUGAAAGAUGCUAAAACACAGUUUACAACUGAUGGUAACUGCAGAGUCCUGGGAUUACUUAUCUGUACAUCACCACGAGUGACCCCUUUCACAUCACACAAAGUAAUUUAACCCAUUGUUGACAUAAAAUUCUUGAUAACUGCAUCUUUAAUCAUGCCAGUGGAGUUUGCCUCUGUCCAGCUAUCAGUGUCUGCAUACCCAAUCCAGGCAUGUUGCUUUUGUGGGAGUGGGAAAAUGAACUCGGAUCCAAGCUUUUGCAAAAGGAAUCUAAAUACACCCGUUUUACCCAAAAAUCAACAGGAGCCAAGAGGAAUGUCGGUCAGCUUCCCUCCAAGAAAAAAAAAAGUGGAUGUUGGUAUUUCCUGAAACGGCCCCGAGUGGGAGAGAGAAACCAAGUGGAAGACAAAUUGGAUGCCUGUCCUAUCAAUACAGUUAUUUCUACAGUUUGAGACUAACUUUGAGACCACACAAAUAAUAAUGUGCCGACCACUUUGAAUUCCAGUAAAAGUCCACCAAACUGAG